rnacentral:tRNA from 1 species
GACCCUAUCGUCUAGUGGUUAGGACACCGCCCUUUCACGGCGGUAACCGGGGUUCAAGUCCCCGUAGGGUCGCCA